UGGGGAAUAUUGGGCAAUGGGCGAAAGCCUGACCCAGCAACGCCGCGUGAAGGAAGAAGGCUUUCGGGUUGUAAACUUCUUUUCUCAGGGACGAAAGAAAUGACGGUACCUGAGGAAUAAGCCACGGCUAACUACGUGCCAGCAGCCGCGGUAAUACGUAGGUGGCAAGCGUUAUCCGGAUUUAUUGGGUGUAAAGGGCGUGUAGGCGGGAGUGCAAGUCAGAUGUGAAAACUAUGCGCUCAACCCAUAGCCUGCAUUUGAAACUGUACUUCUUGAGUGCUGGAGAGGCAAUCGGAAUUCCGUGUGUAGCGGUGAAAUGCGUAGAUAUACGGAGGAACACCAGUGGCGAAGGCGGAUUGCUGGACAGUAACUGACGCUGAGGCGCGAAAGCGUGGGGAGCAAACAGGAUUAGAUACC
rnacentral:rRNA from 1 species